GCUUGUUCAUUCAAACACCACUCCCCCAAACUCAACACAUAGGCAGUGUCUGCAUUCGGUCUUCCAUCUCCCACUCUUCCUCUGUCUCCCUAUCAGCAUGCACAGUCGAUUGCUCUAUCUCUGGGUGACUGGGGUCCUGGUUCUACCUUUGUGCUGGGGAAACCAAGAUGAGGAAUACGAUGAAGUUACUCCAACGCCAGACUAUGACUACAGUGCCACUUUGGACUACAUAUUUUACAGUAAUAGCAGCCAGCCAAUGGACUACAGUUUGUUUGAAACAAUAGGGGAGGAGAAUGAAAAUGAGCCAGGAUAUCCUAGGGAUGAGGCUGCUGUGAUUGGCCAAUCAUGCCUAGUGCUGAUCCUAGGAUUGGCUGCUCAACAGAUCUGUUGCCUAGCAUGAAGGAGACCAUUCAAGACAGAGCAUAGAAAUGCUGGAUGUCGGACAGAGCAGCAGCCUACUGACUGACCUAGUAUGUCCAAUGGUUCAUAUCAGUAGUGCAACCAGAAAAGGCAGCAUGUGAAGUUUUUCAGCACGAUGAUAAUACAACAAUGGUUGUAUGGACUUUGUGGAAUCUCCUCUGACCACUCUUUAGGGCACUUUUUUUGGGAUAUGAUAUACAUUUGUGAGUGUACACAUUUGAAUUGUACUUAAUUGUAAUAAGGAUCUUUACAGUUUUUUACAAAAUUGAAGGUAAAUACAAUUGCCUUGAUAAUGCCAUUCAAAUAAUUUUCAUUCAAUGUAAAGCCACAGUCAUUAGUCUAUUAGCCCAAGUCAACAAAAUGUUUCACCCCACAGUACUUUCGCAUACUUUCUAUUGUCUUUGAGAACAUUUUCUACAACGUGUUUUACUGCUUAUACAAUAAAUACAUAAUUCAAUUUUAUGGGUCAUAUUUAGUCAUGCAUAUCUUUUCAUUUUCAUUUCACCUUUCAUUUCAAUUCAAUGUUCUUUGGGUUAAAAAAAGAACAGCUGUAAUGUUUUACAGUUUUCCCUGCCACAAGUCAUAGCUAGCUCUAGAUGCGUUAACACCUGGGUGCAUUUUUCUAUUCUCUGUGGUCAAUACUUCAUAGUUAGGGUGUAGGUUUUAAAGCAUUGCAGAUGUUAACUGGAAGGAGUCAAGUACCAUGUGUAUUGAUAAUAGGGUUCCAAUUAUCCUCCCAUCCUUAGAAAAGCAUUGAUGUUGAAAUUAUAUGUUUACCAUAAAACUGAGAGGCCUACAGUGGGGUGUGUGUGUGUGGGGGGGGGGGGGGGGGGGGGGGGGGGGGGGGGCAUUACAGUGCUAGUCAACAAGCUGUAUUUUCUCCUCUAUUCUGAUAUGAUCUCUGAGACUAUAUAUUUUCACAUUCAAACACAAAGCCAAGGAUUUGUCAAAGGGAGCGUAUUGCAUUCUGGGAAAUGUGCGGCCCAAGGCAUGGUCAGAGGACUGGGCAGCAGGAGAAAACCAUUAGGGAGGCAGAAUAGUCGUGACCUGGUGUGAUGCCUCCUUCAACAGUCAUCUGCUGAUCAUCACCAAAUGAGGAGGGGGGUCUUGCCAUGUACUGAGAAGGCGGCAUCAAUGAGAAUACUUAAACUAGAUUUUCAGGUGAAUAAAUCAAAUGAAAUCCCACUGCAUCAGCAGUAUUUGACAUGAUUUAAAGUACUGAGAAGUUCCCCCUCAAGUAUGACGUCUAUCCAAAAAAGAGUGUUGCCUCACCUUUUUCUCCUCUCCAUACUCACCCACCCCCAGCUCUGACCUACCCAAAAAUGUGUCCCCUCCUCACACAUACACACAUAACCUGUAAAUAACUUCCAGCUGUAAAAGUAUUAAAGUCAACACAAAACAUCUGCGUGUCUCUUAUACAUCUCUAUUUAUACUGGCACAAACUCCCCUCUGAAGCACAGUCUGUCCCCAUGACUCAGGGCAUGCACAUUGUGGGAGAGCUCCGGGAAAGCACAGACGGGCAGAUAAAGAGAAGGGAGUGAAAGAUAAAAAAAAGAUAAAAUACAAGUGUUGUCUGCCUAUACUGUAGGUCUACUAGUGUAAUAAAACUUAGAGAGUAUGUAGCACAGCACUAUCAAUAUUAUAUACAAUUGUAUUUAGCUAAAUUGAUCAUUAUAAUGUAUUCAUAGUAUGAGAUACUAAGUUGUUAAAGAAAAUAAUUAUAAUUUUUUUUUAUGGGAAAUUGAUUGAAAUCCGCUAAAUCAGACAGAAUUUCAGAGACCCAAUACCUGAAACUAAUUGACGUCACAUGAAGGAUGGUCAAGGCGGCCGACUGAUACGUGUCUCUUGACAUCAUUACUGGGCUAUUAAAACCAUCUAAAGAAGGAAAAGAUUAAACUAAGGACAGCCAAGAGAUUAAGGCAAGUGGGGUGUUCCCUUUUUAUCACUUUAUAUAACAGGUGCCGUAAGGAUGAAGGAGUGGUCUAUAACAAAUUUCAUUCACAAAUAGGUUUCUUUCUUAUUGCAUUAAGUACAAAUCAACCAGCCUACACACAUCCUUUGUGAUCCAUAAAAAAAGAGUCUAAACGUCGAAUUACAAGUUGUCAUAUAAAGUUCACUUGGGUUAAAGGGUUUAAUCCAAUUAAACCCAACCAAACCAAACAUGUUUUCUUAGCGUAGUCCGCAAUCUCCCAUCGUCAGCCUGGGGCUGCAACAAUGGGAUUGAUGACAUAAUUGAACAGAUCCAAUGAAGUAAGUGGGUGACGGGUGUGUAGGUGUCUGCUGGGCGACUUCCCAGUACUGAUACCUAAUUGAAGCUCAUUCAGACGGAGGAGACCAACAACUAAACCUGCUGCUCUUUUUCAGUACCUUGGACAGCGUUGCAAGAACAGCGAGAAGUCACUUUAUUGACUGCAUUCCAUCCAACACAGAAAUGUCAAAACCAGCAGUUAUACUCCUUACUUCUGUUUACUUUUUGUACAUAUUAUCUUCGACGUCAAACGUGGCUGCAGGAUGGACUGAUGAAAGGUCACAAUCUAAGCAUGAAGCUACCAAGGACACAAGGGAAUUGCUUGGUGUUCUUCACAACGUUCUCGAGAAACUUCAGAACAGAAGAAUGGAUUCAUGGGACAGAAGACAGAGCCGCCUCCCUAGUGUAAGUCCAAUAAGAGGUUAUAUGUGACAGAUUCCUUACAGGUUAUAUCUCAGAGGAUCUCAGAUUUUCACAUCUUCGACUGUUGAAUAAAUAUAAAAACCUUUUAGAUUUUGUCUGUGCAUCACAACAUAACUAUAAAGACAGAUUUGUAGUGUCACAGACAAACAACAAUUUAUCAACUUUAAAACUGGUAGCCUUAGUACAAAGUGAAAAUUCACUAUACUCAAAAUUAUUUAAAGAUUGAAUUACACACUUGUCAUAUGAGGCCAUCUAAUGGUUGAUUGGAGUUUCACAAUGUCUGUCUGGUUUUGGGGCUAUGAGGAAGCUACAGCAACUGCUCGACACUUCAGCAAGCAGAUAUAAAAAGUAUAAUAAUGAUAUUUUGCUUUCUAUUGUCUGUGCAUAUGUGUCAUUUCCCCAAAAUGUGUUUGCAGUGUAAUGUUGGUGAUUUCUGCACAGCGAAAAAGGGACCACGAUUUGGCCAACUAUGUGACUGUCCAAGAGGGUCAAAGUGCAACCACUUCUUUCUCAAAUGUUUGUGAUUGAUGGCAUUUCAUACUGGAUUUGACUAUUUUUGUCUUGAGUUUUGAUUUAUACAUUUUAUAAUCUAUCAUGCAAGUGUUCUUUAUAUAAUUUUCCUGUGAAAGGUUUUGAAUUAAUGUUCAUGUUUAUUUGAUGAACUGUAGGCAAAUACUUUAUUUUUAAAUAAAAUGUGGUUUACAUUUUUAACCGUUGUAGGAGAGCUUAUUUGAAAUAUGUUCACAGGCACACAUACCAAUUUCAAUUUGUAUUUGAGGUAUGUCCUUCUUUUAUGUUGAGAUAAGGUCCAAAUAUUUUUUUACAACUUGGACCAAAUCUAGGAUACUCGUGAAUGAACCAUAAACAUGCGGGCAAAUACAUAUUUUUACAUUUUAAUUACAUGCAACAACAUUAAAUGUUCUGUAGUACUUUAGUACUCAGGUUAUGGAUAUGUUAACAAAGCAUUGGGACUUUAGUAAGAAGAAACAUAACAGAUUACAUCACAACCUUAAAUAACUAUAUAUUGUUGUACUGCAUUAACAGCAA